rnacentral:tRNA from 1 species
GCAGGAGUAGCAAAGCGGUCAAAUGCGGCAGACUCAAGAUCUGCUGGCUUAGUGCCUUCGGAGGUUCGAAUCCUCCCUCCUGCA